rnacentral:rRNA from 1 species
UACGUAGGGUGCGAGCGUUUAAUCGGAAUUACUGGGCGUAAAGCGUGCGCAGGCGGUUUUGUAAGUCAGAUGUGAAAGCCCCGGGCUCAACCUGGGAACUGCGUUUGAAACUACAAGGCUAGAGUAUGGCAGAGGGGGGUAGAAUUCCACGUGUAGCAGUGAAAUGCGUAGAGAUGUGGAGGAAUACCAAUGGCGAAGGCAGCCCCCUGGGUCAAUACUGACGCUCAUGCACGAAAGCGUGGGGAGCAAACAGG